rnacentral:rRNA from 1 species
GACGAACGCUGGCGGCGCGCUUAACACAUGCAAGUCGAACGGAAAGGCCCCUUUGGGGGUACUCGAAUGGCGAACGGGUGAGUAACACGUGAGUAACCUUCCCUUGACUUCGGGAUAACUUCAGGAAACUGGGGCUAAUACCGGAUAGGAAUCCUUGCUGCAUGGUGGGGGUUGGAAAGCUUCGGCGGUUUUGGAUGGACUCGCGGCUUAUCAGCUUGUUGGUGGGGUAGUGGCUUACCAAGGCUUUGACGGGUAGCCGGCCUGAGAGGGCGACCGGCCACAUUGGGACUGAGAUACGGCCCAGACUCCUACGGGAGGCAGCAGUGGGGAAUAUUGCACAAUGGGCGGAAGCCUGAUGCAGCAACGCCGCGUGCGGGAUGACGGCCUUCGGGUUGUAAACCGCUUUCAGCAGGGGCGAAGCUUGUGGUGACGGUACCUGCAGAAGAAGCACCGGCUAACUACGUG